GACAGAGGGUGCGAACGUUGCUCGGAAUUACUGGGCGUAAAGCGUGUGUAGGCGGCCGCGCGCAUCGGGUGUGAAAGCCCGGGGCUCAACCCCGGAAGUGCAUCCGCGAUGGCGCGGCUAGAGUGUCGGAGAGGAGAGCGGAAUUCCCGGUGUAGAGGUGAAAUUCGUAGAUAUCGGGAGGAACACCAGUGGCGCAGGCGGCUCUCUGGACGAACACUGACGCUGAGACACGAAAGCGUGGGGAGCAAACAG
rnacentral:rRNA from 1 species